rnacentral:rRNA from 1 species
UUCGUCUGAAGGGGAGAGUGGCGAACGGGUGAGUAACACGUGGGUGACCUGCCUCGAAGACGGGGAUAACCACUGGAAACGGUGGCUAAUACCCGAUGGUCUCGAUAAUUCGGUUUAUCGAGUAAAGGCUCCGGCGCUUUGAGAGGGACCUGCGGCCCAUCAGCUAGUUGGUAGGGUAAUGGCCUACCAAGGCAAAGACGGGUAGGGGGCGUGAGAGCGUGACCCCCCACACUGGCACUGGGACACGGGCCAGACUCCUACGGGAGGCAGCAGUGAGGAAUAUUGCGCAAUGAGCGAAAGCUAGACGCAGCAACGCCGCGUGGGUGAUGAAGGCCUUCGGGUCGUAAAAACCCUUUUCUGGGGGAAGAGUAAGGACGGUACCCCAGGGAAUAAAGCCUCGGUUAACUAUGUGCCAGCAGCCGCGGUAAUAACAUAAGGGAGGCAAGCGUAAUCCGGAUUUACUGGGCGUAAAGAGCGUUGAGGCGGCUUCGUAAGUUGGACGUGAAGCUCCCCGCUUUACUUGGAGAGGCCGCUCAAUACUGCCGGGGCUUGGAGACAACAAAGGGGGUGUGAAUUUCCCGUGUAGUGGUGAAAUGCGUAGAUAUCGGAAAGGAACAACAUGGCCGAAAGCGGCCCACUGGCGUGCUCCUGACGGCUGAAGCCGAAAGCUAGGGUAGCGAACGGGAUUAGAAACCGCGGUAGUCCUAGCCGUAAACGAUGGAUACUAGGUGUAGGAGGGUUAAAUUCCCUUCUGUGCCGGAGGCUUACGCGGUAAGGUAUCCCGCCUGGGGAGGUACGGUUCGCAAGGCUAAACUCANNAAGGAAUUUGACGGGGGCCCGCACAAGCAACGGAGCGUGUGGUUNAAUUCGAUGCAACGCGAAGAACCUUACCAGGGCUUGACAUGUAGUUAGUAGUGAAGCGAAAGCGGAACGAUCCUUCGGGAAGCCUACACAGGUGCUGCAUGGCUGUCGUCAGCUCGUGCCGUGAGGUGUUAGGUUAAGUCCUG